ensembl:ncRNA VF23B12L.1 ncRNA
AAAUAAAUCAACGAAUUAGUGAUUUUUCUGUGUUGAAAGCCGAAAUGCGCGAAACUUGCACACCCCGCUUCCCUCAUAAAUCAUCAAACAAAUUAGCGAGGAAAAGAGUUUUGAUGAAUUACUGAGAAGAAAG